rnacentral:lncRNA from 1 species
GAUUUCCGGAACCUGGAAGCCUAGGCAGGCAGUGGGGAACUCUGACUCGCCUGUGCUCUGGAGCUUGAUCCGAAAGCUUCCACAGUGAGGACUGCUCCGUGGGGUCCUGCUCCGCUUCGCAGUGGAAUGGAACGGAUUUAGAAGCCUGCAGUAGGGGAGUGGGGAGUGGAGAGAGGGAGCCCAGAGUUACAGACGGCGGCGAGAGGCCCCAAAGAGUCUGAUGUUUACAAGACCAGAAAUGCCACGGCCGCGUCCUGGCAGAGAAAAGGCUGAAAUGGAGGACCGGCGCCUUCCUUAUAAGCUCGUUGGGGCCUAAGCCAGUACCGACCUGGUAGAAAAAGCAACCACGAAGCUAGAGAGAGAGCCAGAGGAGGGAAGAGAGCGCCAGACGAAGGUGAAAGCGAACCACGCAGAGAAAUGCAGGCAAGGGAGCAAGGCGGCAGUUCCCGGAACAAACGUGGCAGAGGGCAAGACGGGCACUCACAGACAGAGGAGUGAUUAUGCAGUGGGACCCUGCUGCAAACGGGACUUUGCACUCUAAAUAUAGACCCCAGCUUGGGACAAAAGUUGCAGUAGAAAAAUAGACAUAGGAGAACACUUAAAUAAGUGAUGCAUGUAGACACAGAAGGGGUAUUUAAAAGACAGAAAUAAUAGAAGUACAGAAGAACAGAAAAAAAAUCAGCAGAUGGAGAUUACCAUUCCCAAUGCCUGAACUUCCUCCUGCUAUUAAGAUUGCUAGAGAAUUGUGUCUUAAACAGUUCAUGAACCCAGAAGAAUGCAAUUUCAAUGUAUUUAGUACACACACAGUAUGUAUAUAAACACAACUCACAGAAUAUAUUUUCCAUACAUUGGGUAGGUAUGCACUUUGUGUAUAUAUAAUAAUGUAUUUUCCAUGCAGUUUUAAAAUGUAGAUAUAUUAAUAUCUGGAUGCAUUUUCUGUGCACUGGUUUUAUAUGCCUUAUGGAGUAUAUACUCACAUGUAGCUAAAUAGACUCAGGACUGCACAUUCCUUGUGUAGGUUGUGUGUGUGUGGUGGUUUUAUGCAUAAAUAAAGUUUUACAUGUGGUGAAUAUACGUGCUGUAUGUAAUCUUUCCCCAGUCGGUUGCUUUCACAUACAGUAGAUAAAAGUGCCUCUGUG